CCCAGGGUCUUGUUUUAAAAGAGGGCUUUGCUAUCAAUUUUGGAUGGACCCGCGGCGUAUUAGUUAGUUGGUGAGGUAAAGGCUCACCAAGGCAGUGAUACGUAGCCGACCUGAGAGGGUAAUCGGCCACAUUGGGACUGAGACACGGCCCAGACUCCUACGGGAGGCAGCAGUAGGGAAUUUUCCACAAUGGACGCAAGUUUGAUGGAGCAACGCCGCGUGAGUGAAGAAGGGUUUCGGCUCGUAAAACUCUGUUGUUAAAGAAGAACGUGGGUAAGAGUAACUGUUUACCCAGUGACGGUAUUUAACCAGAAAGCCACGGCUAACUACGUGCCAGCAGCCGCGGUAAUACGUAGGUGGCAAGCGUUAUCCGGAUUUAUUGGGCGUAAAGCGAGCGCAGGCGGUCUUUUAAGUCUAAUGUGAAAGCCUUCGGCUCAACCGAAGAAGUGCAUGGAAACUGG
rnacentral:rRNA from 1 species